AAUGAACGCUGGCGGCGUGCUUAACACAUGCAAGUCGUACGAGAAAUCACGCCUUCGGGUGUGAGAGUAAAGUGGCGCACGGGUGAGUAACGCGUGAGUAACCUACCCUUAAGUUUGGGAUAACCCUCCGAAAGGAGUGCUAAUACCAGAUAUGACCACGAGGUCUUCGGACCUUGGGGUAAAAGGUGGCCUCUACAUGUAAGCUACUGCUUUAGGAUGGGCUCGCGUGCUAUUAGCUAGUUGGUAGGGUAACGGCCUACCAAGGCUACGAUAGCUAGCUGGUCUGAGAGGAUGAUCAGCCACACUGGAACUGAAACACGGUCCAGACUCCUACGGGAGGCAGCAGUGAGGAAUUUUGCGCAAUGGGGGAAACCCUGACGCAGCAACGCCGCGUGAGUGAUGAAGGCCCUCGGGUCGUAAAGCUCUGUCAAGUGGGAAGAAAUCAUUUAAGGCCAAUACCCUUAUUUGUUGACGGUACCACUGAAGGAAGCACCGGCUAACUCCGUGCCAGCAGCCGCGGUAAUACGGAGGGUGCAAGCGUUAUUCGGAAUUACUGGGUGUAAAGCGAGUGUAGGCGGCUUGGUCAGUCAGAUGUGAAAGCUCCGGGCUUAACUCGGAAAGUGCAUUUGAAACUUCCAGGCUUGAGUACGGGAGAGGAAGGUGGAAUUCCCAGUGUAGAGGUGAAAUUCGUAGAUAUUGGGAGGAACACCGGUGGCGUAGGCGACCUUCUGGACCGAUACUGACGCUGAGACUCGAAAGCGUGGGGAGCAAACA
rnacentral:rRNA from 1 species